UAGGGAAUAUUGGACAAUGGGCGAAAGCCUGAUCCAGCCAUGCCGCGUGAGUGAUGAAGGCCUUCGGGUCGUAAAACUCUUUUCUGAGGGAAGAACCGCCCGGGUAGGAAAUGCCCCGGGUCUGACGGUACCUCAGGAAUAAGCAACGGCUAACUCCGUGCCAGCAGCCGCGGUAAUACGGAGGUUGCGAGCGUUGUUCGGAAUGACUGGGCGUAAAGGGAGCGCAGGCGGUACGGCAAGUCUAAAGUGGAAGCCCGGGGCUUAACCUCGGAAGUGCUUUGGAUACUGCCGCACUCGAGUUCGUGAGAGGAAAGCGGAAUUCCAGGUGUAGCGGUGAAAUGCGUAGAUAUCUGGAGGAACACCGGUGGCGAAAGCGGCUUUCUGGCACGAUACUGACGCUGAGGCUCGAAAGCAUGGGGAGCGAACA
rnacentral:rRNA from 1 species